CUACGGUAUAGAGAAGGCCCACAAGGCCGACAUCCAGAUGUAUUUUUCAGGGCACCUCAGCCCUCACUGCCUGACCAAGGCAAAAAGUCAGAGAAACGCAAAGACGUCCACCUGGGAGGCGUCUGUGUUCCAGGAGAAAGACAAGGACCUCAUGGGUCCAAGUAUCCGGAAUAAACACCACCACAGAGUGGCCGGUGUGGAGAAAAUGACCAGUUCCUUGGCCGACUUCACGCUCUCCGCCACGCUGCGGGAGCCGACGGGCUUCAGUUUAGGAGAGGGCGCUGAGCGCAAACUUCAUUUUCACGAAAACGUGGAGAAACAGCACAGGAGUGAAAAGGCCAGGCAGGUCAAGCCUCACCAUCCUGUCCCCAACCAUAUGAACCAGAGCCGGUACUGUCAAACAGGUCCGGUCUGGAAGGAUGAGCAGAAGAGGAUGAUGCGGUUUGAGAAAACUGUCACUAAGAUGCAGAGCCCGAAGGAGAUGCACUGCCUGAGAGCCAGGGCUCUGGAGAAGAAGCUGCAGCAGGAGCUUCUGAAACUCCCUGACCAGACCUGGCCCAGCAGAGAUCGCCUGGGGGUGUUCAGUGACGUCUUUGAUGACGUGUGUGACGGUGGGUCUGCGCAUGGGAACUUCCUUAGAGAAAUCAAGGUUUUUUUUUUUUCCACAUUUCCCCUUCACUGAUGAGUGUAUUUAUAGAGACUGCUACUCUAAUGAGCACCACAAUGUGGACCAUGAUUCCCCGGAUAUAAAUGCUAACUGCUACACGCAUGCAGUGGCUUGAAUUAAGCCAUUCUAAUGCUCUUGCUCUGCGUUCUCCUCAGACGGAGUAUGAUUCCUACUUGAAAGCGAUUCUCACUCAUCAGUCAUUCCUCCAGGAUGUGGUAAACGCUUACAGCAGAUGGCACCCCUUGAGUUUUUCAGACUUGUUCGGUCGUUAGUAAUGUCAAGUAAUCGAAUAUAACACACCAGAGUAAAUAGAAUAAUCUGUUAACAACCAAGAAGUCAUUUCAAGCCCCUACGGAUUAUACUUUUAAAUCGUAUGUGAUUUUUGGGAAGGGAACAUAUUAACAGCAUGCCAGAACUACAGGGUAGACACUAGUGGCGGGUAUUGGCGAGGAUCUCAUGUCACAAUACGGUUAUAUCACGUUUAUAUGACAGAUGUAAGAUCGUCUCAGGCAAAAUUUGUCCAAAACACAGAACAGUGUCAAAAUUCACAGUAACUGUGUCCAGUUGAAGAAGUUGUUGGCAACUCAUCACCUAAAGAAAAAGAAUUGCUUGUAUCUUCAAUGCAAUCCAAAAUAAUUAGAAGUAUAAAAACCCAUGUCAUUCCACAAAAAACAUAGCACUGCCAACAAAUAUACCAUCAACAAAAAAUUAUAAUCAUUUCGCUGGAUACCUGCAGUGCUCAAAAGAUUGUAGAUUAUUUAAAAUGGUACGUUUCAUCAAUAAAAACGAAUUCGCGGACUUCUGAGGCGGACGU
rnacentral:lncRNA from 1 species